UGAUGGUGUCUGUUUGUUUCCAAACAAGAACAGCCUGUCACCGCCGGGAGGAGAAGCAAGGCAGGCUGCUUCCGUCAGGAGAAGGGCCAGUGGGAGCUGGGAAGAAACGCUGCCAGUGCCCAGAGCCUACACAGGCUGCUUGGAGAGCUUGUUCCAAGAACUGAGCAUCCAAGUGGAAGUCAGCGCCACAGGAACAUGGGCCCAAAGGAGCCUCCGAAGGGGAUGCUCUGCUCCACGCAGGACUCCAUUUACAGUGAUCAAGGGCCCCAAAAGACAAUGGCAGGAUGGCUGCAAUUCUGGCUAAUUUUCCUGUUCUCCGUGCAGAGGGCCGGAAGAUUCGUGCAAGAGACACACCCUCGGAGCCUCCGCUGGUAAUUGAGGAUAAUGGGAGCUUUUCAGCAGAGCUGUUUUGAGAUUGAACAUGAUGAUAAAGUGCUUAGUGUGGCAACUGGCAUACAGUAGGUGCAGAAAGUAGUGGUUAUCAUUUGCAAGUGGCACUCAUCAACCUGCUUCUCAGGGCUAUAAAAAUCUACCUCCUUAAAUACUUUCUGAAAGGCUCUAUUUUCUGCCCUUUCAAUCAUUCAGCUUGUUCAGGUAGCUCAGUACCUGCAUGGUUUCUGGCUCUGAAGGAGUUUUUUUUUAAGCUGCACUCAUGGCAGCUUGCCAGUUUAAAAGGAUUCUGUCCCAAGCUGGGCAUGGUGAUGAACGUCUAUAAUGCCAGCACUCUAGGAAGCUGAGGCAGGGAGAUCACAAGUUUGAGCUCAGGCUGGGCAACUUAGCAAGACCCUACCUACAAAUAAAAAAUUAGAAAGGGCUGGGGACACAACUCAGUGACACCUAUGGGUUCAACUUCCAGUACCAGGCCGGGGAAAACUAAAAACAAACAAAAAACCUUUCUCAGAAGCCAGACUGACUCCUUCGCAUUACAAGUCAGUCACCAAUGGCAAACAACUCUGCUGGCAAAUGCUGAACCCUGUGCCUGAUCUUUGAAUCAAAUCUAACGUCAGUCUCCCCUACAUCCUAAUCACAGGUCGCUCGCUGGUCUUUCUGGUCCCUUUCAGGUAUGACUGAGGAGACUUGCAUCAUCUAUAUGCUGCAACGAAAACUUCUGGAGGGGAAGAGACUGUCUCUACAUUAGACUGCUGCUCUGGGAUCUUUCUAUUUUUGUGUUUUAUCUUAAAUCAAGGUUAGCAAAGUUUUUCCUGAAAAGAGCCAGGUGCUAAAUGUUUCCAUUUAGCUCGCUUUGCAAGCCAUGUCUCAUCUGUCUUAAAGCUCUCAACCUUGCCAUUACAGCACAAAACCUUGCCAUUACAGCCACACAUGAUACCUAUACAUUCAGUGAGCUAUGUUCCAAUAAAACUGUAUCUUGAUUUCCCCUUCCAUUUACAUACAGAGGAGAGCACUGGACUCUAAGAAACCCAGACGAAAGAUAUCAUUUGAGCUCAGAGUAGC
rnacentral:lncRNA from 1 species